GGUUGAUGAAGAUGGCGAAGGUGAAACGCAAGAGCAGUAGUCGCGGUUGUUAGAGAAUUUUGAAAGACGACUGAGCCUAUAACUUUUUCUGCGAAUGAGGAAGGGAGAUGCAUUAGAUUCAGUUUUAGAACAAUCAUCUCUAUCUCGUGAUUGCCACUAUCUUCUUUCCUUUUUGCCCAGCUUCUUCCUCAUUAUCUCCAUCCCUUUUAUUUCGUUCCGCAUCUUCAUUUUCUUCUUCUGCUCUUCUUCCUUCAUCGUCUUCCAUGGGUAUUUUUCCUUUUUGCACUUCCCUGGUUAAAUUCUUAUUUUUCCAAAUGGUGAGGUGCUAAAACAUAACCUCUUCAUUAUAUAACAUUUAGGAAGGCACUUUUAACAUCAAUUUGGUAAAGUUUAAAAUCUUUAAAACAUGCAAUCAAGUAGCAUUCUAAUGCUUCUAAUUAGCUCCGUGCGAAUGCUUUUCAUCAAAAUCAAUCCCUCUUCUUGACUAUAUUCCUUGAGCCAACGAGUCUAGCCUUGUUCCUCACAACUUAUUCAGAUUCAUCCAGUUUAUUUCUAAACACCCUUUGGUUUCCAAUAACCGGUGUCUCUAGGUCUAUGACAAAAUGCCAUACCUCUUCUUUUCAAAUUGGUUAAGUUCCUCUUGCAUGCAUUAUCCAAAAUUCAUUAUUUUCGGCAUUCUUUAAACUUUUGGUUCUAUUUUGACAAGAAAUGCAAGAUGAUUACAAAUAUUCGAUAGAGGAUACGAGUUUCUUACCCCCUGUGAGGGAUCGCCUAGGAUUUGUUCGGUAGGAUGGUUUUGCACAAAUUUUCACUCUUUAGGUAGAUCUUCAUUUGCUGCUGUGUUUGCUUAGGAAGUUUCUUGUAUCUCAUCCUCUUUUGUUGACUAUCCGUUGUGCUUGGUUGUUGAUCUAAUUUCUCUAUUUUUGCCUCAAUUUUCAUCUAUCUCUUCACUUAUGAUCUUUUUUACUUAUAAGGAUAUGCUCAUCGAAAGUGACAUGGACCGAUUCUUCACUAACUAGAAGUUCUUUUCUGGAAAACUCUAUAUGCUUUGCUAUGUAUUGAAUACCCAAGAAAAAUUCCUUCAUCAGCUUUUGCGUCAAAUUUUUCAAGAUUAUCUUGUUGUUAGUUAAUCAAAGCCAUUUGCAUCCAAAAGUUUUAAAAUAUAAAUAUUUGGCUUUUUGUCUUUCCAGCUAUAUGGGGGUUUUGUCAAUGUUUUCUAAAUAGAUUGGAUUAAAAUUAGCAGUGCAUUUGCGCGCUUUGGCAAAAAUACUUGGUAAACUAUUUUCACAAAGCAUGGUUCUUCCCAUUUCUUGCAAAACUCUAGUUUUUUCUUUCAACACCCCAAUUUUGUUGAGGUAUUCUAGGAGCUGAAAAGUUAUUGUCCAAACCGUUUCGUCACAAAUAUGUCAAAGGUUACACUCAAAUUCCCCUCCAUGAUCGGUUCUAAUUGAGGUAAUUGAAUACCCUUUUCAUUUUGGGAACCUUCGACAAAAAUUUUGUAAGUAAGACAAUUUGUUUUGUUCCAUCCUUAUGUUAAGAGAUGUCCAUGUGAACUUGAAUAGUCAUCAACAAUAACAAGUGAUAUUGCUUCCACCAGACUUAAGGUUCUUGAUGGUCCAAAUAAAUCCAUAUACCAAUAGUUGGAGUGCCUUACUAAGUUGAGCUUAUUUAUGAUUUAAAAGAUGUUUGGUUUGGUUUUCCAUUUGACAAGCAUCACAAAUCUUGUCCUACUCAAUUUUUGGAUUUUAGGAAGCCCUUUGACCAAUCAUUUUUAAAUCUUUUCAGUAUGCUCAUACUAUAUGGGCCAAGUCCUUCUAUGCAACAAUCAACUUUCAUCACUAUUCAAUAGCGGCAAGGCACUCGUUUUCACAAAAUGAUAUUCAUUUAAAUUGAACAAGGUAACAUAUUGCCUUGUCUAUGACCAAAGAGAAUUGUUUUGUUUAGUCUUGAUGUCUAUUACAUCACAUUUGAGGAUUCAAAUACAACCUUACACCUUUGUCACAUAGACUAAUACUUAGAAUAUUGUGGUUUGAGUCCUUUAACAAGUACCAUUUCAUGGGGUUGAGGAGUUCUUACGUACAACUAUUACGAUGAUCUUUCCUUUGCCAUUGUCUUCAAGGUAACAAAUCCUCCACAUUUGGCUUUAAACGAUGUGAAUUGAGUUCAAUCUCCCGUCAUCUGCCUUGAGCACCCGCUAUCCAAGACCAUUGAUUUUUUCUGGUUUUGCUUGAAGAUCACACUUUUAUUAGUCCUACAAAAAUAUUUAUUUUACUUUAGGUACCCAAAUCAUCUUGGGUCUUGGGGAUUAUCUUCAAUGGUCUUCUCGGGACCCCUGCAUUUUUAUGAAAAUUUUGAUUUUUUGCAUAUGAGGCAUUCUACUAGCAAUAUGUCCCAACUUAUGACAUAAAAACACGAGAUUGAUGUCUUUUUCAAAAAUGUUGAUUUUUGAAAACAUUUUCAAAAGAAGAUUUAAAUGGAUUGCAUUCUGAUUCCUGUUUUG
rnacentral:lncRNA from 1 species